CGUAGGUGCGAGCGUUGUCCGGAAUUAUUGGGCGUAAAGGGCUCGUAGGCGGUUUGUUGCGUCGGGAGUGAAACUCAGGGCUUAACCCUGAGCCCGCUUCCGAUACGGGCAGACUAGAGGUAUGCAGGGGAGAACGGAAUUCCUGGUGUAGCGGUGAAAUGCGCAGAUAUCAGGAGGAACACCGGUGGCGAAGGCGGUUCUCUGGGCAUUACCUGACGCUGAGGAGCGAAAGUGUGGGGAGCGAACAGGAUU
rnacentral:rRNA from 1 species